rnacentral:lncRNA from 1 species
CCCUGAAUAGAUGAACCCUGAUAAAAGGUUAAAUAGCAAUUUCCUCUUCUUUGGCAGACAUUGUUUAUCAAACCUGGGACCUACAACUGGCAUUUCCGCUGUCAACUCAAUGACUCCUUUCAAGAUGAUCCGUGUGAAAUAUAAUGGAAAAAUACUUUUGGAUGGUACAAGAUAGAGAUAGCAUGAUUUGCUGAUUGUCUCAAGCUAAUUGACAUGCAGGUCAGUGAAGAAAACACACUUUGAAACAUAAAUGUCUUGUUGGGACUCCUGUGAUUUACUGAACACUUUAUUUAUAGCUAUGCAUGAUAAGGAUGAUAAUAAUCCUUUUCCAAAGAGCAGAGAGACAACUUUCUGAAACUGAUCCGAAAACUAUGCAUCCCUGGAAUUGCCCUUUUGCUUGCCCUGGAUCCAAUCACAAACAUUCCAGUGAAAAGCUUUCUGCUCUUCCUCCCUUGACUGAGUCCAUCUGACAACACUGGGCUUCACUGCUCCACCUGGUCCCACUUGUGCUGCCAACGCUGCAAAUGCUGCUGAUGGAGAGAGGAGUCACCUGCUCAUGGCAUGUUCCUCCACAGCUUGUUUGUAAGGUCUUUGUCCUGUCUGGAUAAAGGCAGUUUCCCAAUUCCUGUAGCUCAGUAAAAAUCUAUCCUGAG